GGUCCUGCGCUCAACUAGUAGAGCGUGGCAUUAACAUUGCCAGGGUUAGUGGUUCAAUUCCCACCGGGACCA